GAUAAACGCUGGCGGCGUGCCUAACACAUGCAAGUCGAACGCCCUCGCGCAAGCGAGGGAGUGGCGCACGGGUGAGUAACACGUGGGUACCUACCCCCAAGUGAGGAAUACCACCGGGAAACCGGUGACAAGACCGCAUACGUUCUCUCUUUGGGAGAGAGCAAAGCUUCUUCGGAGGCGCUUGAGGAUGGGCCUGCGGCCGAUUAGCUAGCUGGUGGGGUAAUAGCCUACCAGGGCGACGAUCGGUAGCUGGUCUGAGAGGACGAGCAGCCACACUGGGAUUGAGAACGGCCCAGACUCCUACGGGGGGCAGCAGUGAGGAAUUUUCGGCAAUGGGCGCAAGCCUGACCGAGCAACGCCGCGUGCAGGACGACGGCCUUCGGGUUGUAAACUGCUUUUCCCAGGGACGAGCAAGGACGGUACCUGGGGAACCAGCUCCGGCUAACUACGUGCCAGCAGCCGCGGUAAUACGUAGGGAGCAAGCGUUGUCCGGAGUUACUGGGCGUAAAGCGCACGUAGGCGGUCCAUCGCGUUGGUGCUGACAGCCGUCGGCUUCACUGACGGAGGCGUAUCAAAACGGAUGGACUCGAGGCUCAGAGGGGCAGACGGAAUUCCGGGUGGAGCGGUGAAAUGCGUAGAGAUCCGGAAGAACACCAAAGGCGAAGGCAGUCUGCUGGCUGAGCGCUGACGCUCAGGUGCGAAAGCUAGGGGAGCGAACAGGAUUAGAUACCCUGGUAGUCCUAGCUGUAAACGAUGACCACCAGGUAUGCGGGGUAUCGACCCCCUGCGUGCCGGCGCUAACGCACUAAGUGGUCCGCCUGGGGAGUACGGUCGCAAGAUUAAAACUCAAAGGAAUUGACGGGGACCCGCACAAGCAGCGGAGCGUGUGGUUUAAUUCGAUGCAACGCGAAGAACCUUACCAGGGUUUGACAUGCUCUCGCACCUCUUGGAGACAAGAGUGCCCGCAAGGGACGGGAGCACAGGUGCUGCAUGGCUGUCGUCAGCUCGUGCCGUGAGGUGUUGGGUUAAGUCCCGCAACGAGCGCAACCCCUGUCGCCGGUUGGGCUAUCCGGCGAGACUGCCACGAUCAACGUGGAGGAAGGUGGGGAUGACGUCAAGUCAGCACGGCCCUUACGUCCUGGGCUACACACACGCUACAAUGGCGCAGACAACGAGUGGCCAACCCGCGAGGGGGAGCUAAUCUUAGCAAACUGCGUCUCAGUUCGGAUUGCAGGCUGCAACCCGCCUGCAUGAAGUCGGAGUUGCUAGUAACCGUGAGUCAGCACAUCACGGUGAAUACGUUCCCGGGUCUUGUACACACCGCCCGUCACACCACGAAAGUCGGUCACACCUGAAGCCAUCGGGCUAACCCACUGGGAGGCAGAUGUCGAGGGUGGGGCUGGUGAUUGGGGUG
rnacentral:rRNA from 1 species